AUUCCAGCUCCAAUAGCGUAUAUUAAAGUUGUUGCAGUUAAAACGCUCGUAGUCGGAUUUUGGGGCGGGCCGACCGGUCUGCCGAUGGGUAUGCACUGGCCGGCGCGUCCUUCCACCCGGAGACCGCGCCUACUCUUAACUGAGCGGGCGCGGGAGACGGGUCUUUUACUUUGAAAAAAUCAGAGUGUUUCAAGCAGGCAGUCGCUCUUGCAUGGAUUAGCAUGGGAUAAUGAAAUAGGACUCUGGUGCUAUUUUGUUGGUUUCGAACACCGGAGUAAUGAUUAACAGGGACAGUCAGGGGCACUCGUAUUCCGCCGAGAGAGGUGAAAUUCUCAGACCAGCGGAAGACGAACCACUGCGAAAGCAUUUGCCAGGGAUGUUUUCAUCA
rnacentral:rRNA from 1 species